rnacentral:rRNA from 1 species
AUACGGAGGGUGCAAGCGUUGUCCGGAUUUAUUGGGUUUAAAGGGUGUGUAGGCGGUGUAUUAAGUCAGUGGUGAAAGCCUGCGGCUCAACCGUAGAACUGCCAUUGAUACUGACACACUUGAGUAUGGACGAGGUAGGCGGAAUUUAUGGUGUAGCGGUGAAAUGCAUAGAUACCAUAAAGAACACCGAUAGCGAAGGCAGCUUACUAGGCCAUAACUGACGCUGAGGCGCGAAAGCGUGGGGAGCGAACAGGAUUAGAAACCCGAGUAGUCC